GCCAAGAAGAUCUAGACUCUCCAAGUGUGCGGAUUUUGGAUUAUUGCAAAAUGAAAACUUUUAAAUGAAGUUAAAACUUAUUACACAAAGUUUUUAUGGAAAUCCAGGUUGGGAAAUGCGAUGAUGUGAAAGCAGCUUUGAAAAAGUCAAUGCAUAGCCACCAGCUAGGAAUUCUCACCUUUGCUGCAGCGUUUUAAUGAGUCAGCAUCCUUCAUUUGAUUCCUAUUAUAACGAAGAUGUGUGAAACCAGUUUCAGGUAUUCGGGGGUCUGAGGAUCUCCCAAUAUCCUGCCUGGGAACCAAGCGACUGGAAUGAAACCUCUACAAUCUAACCUGACUUCUUGCUGGAGGUCCUAGGAGUCACAAGAUCAUCCUCAAAGCUCUUCACAGGGGGCCUAUGGUCUCUGUUACUUGCUCCUGUUUUCUCUGGUUCUCUGAACAUCCUGAGUGGAAACCUAUGGUUUCCUGCUUCAGAAUACCUGUAUCAUCUACCUCACCUGUGAGUUCUUCUAGCUGUGCCUCUGCUUUACUUCCCUUUUCCACUCUGAAGAUUCCAAAUGGAACAGGACAUGGAGAAGCCAGCUAUGCAAACAGAAUGAGAUGUAAAAUAGUGUCCAAGGCCCCAAGGCACCAGAGAAGCCACUGAAGUGACAAUGACCAAGACUUUUAAAGCUACAAAACACAACAAGAAGGAGAACAUCACAGACACAAAAUUUAAAGGAAUUUCAAUGAAUUUGGGGGUGGAGAAUAGUUAGGGAGUUUGCAGCUGUUGAAGGAGAACUUAGGAGACUUCUACUGAACAAUAUUAUUUUGCUGUGGCCUAUGGAUCAAAAGCAGCUUCCAAGAACUUAUUAGGAAAGUAAAUACAUGAGUUCCUUGUCAGAACUACU